rnacentral:rRNA from 1 species
CCUACGGGAGGCAGCAGUAAGGAAUAUUGGACAAUGCUCGCAAGAGUGAUCCAGCCAUGCCGCGUGCAGGAAGAAUGCCCUAUGGGUAGUAAACUGCUUUUGAACUAGAGAAAAUCCCAGUACGUGUACUGGGCUGAUAGUAUAGUUAGAAUAAGCAUCGGCUAACUUCGUGCCAGCAGCCGCGGUAAGACGAAGGAUGCAAGCGUUAUCCGGAUUCAUUGGGUUUAAAGGGAGCGUAGGUGGACUGAUAAGUCAGUGGUGAAAUCUCCGAGCUUAACUCGGAAAUUGCCAUUGAUACUGUUGGUCUUGAGUACAGUUGCUGUGGGCGGAAUAUGACAUGUAGUGGUGAAAUACAUAGAGAUGUCAUAGAACACCGAUUGCGAAGGCAGCUCACAAAGCUGUAACUGACACUGAGGCUCGAAAGUGCGGGGAUCAAACAGGAUUAGAUACCCUGGUAGUCCGCACCGUAAACGAUGAUUACUGCUGNGAGGGCGACGUUAGUGNGUAGAGAAGAGAGUUAAGUUAAGUACGACCGUUGGUAGGUUACGGCCGGCGACGGAGAACGACGAAGAGAGUUAGAGGCGNGAGAGNGCGACGGACGACACGAGGGAGGAAGG